rnacentral:rRNA from 1 species
GAACUUACCUGGUCUUGACAUCCCGGAGACCCUUAGGAAACUAGGGGGUGCUUCCAUCUGGAAGAAUCUGGAGACAGGUGCUGCAUGGCUGUCGUCAGCUCGUGUCGUGAGAUGUUGGGUUAAGUCCCGCAACGAGCGCAACCCUUGCCUUUAGUUGCCAGCAGUUCGGCUGGGCACUCUAAAGGGACUGCCGGUGUUAAACCGGAGGAAGGUGGGGAUGACGUCAAGUCCUCAUGGCCUUUAUGACCAGGGCUACACACGUACUACAAUGGCCGAUACAAAGGGCAGCGACACUGCGAGGUGAAGCCAAUCCCGUAAAAUCGGUCUCAGUCCGGAUUGGAGUCUGCAACUCGACUCCAUGAAGUUGGAAUCGCUAGUAAUCGUGGAUCAGCAUGCCACGGUGAAUACGUUCCCGGGCCUU